UAAAGCUCCGGCGGUUAGAGAUGAGCAUGCGUGUCAUUAGCUAGUUGGUAAGGCAACGGCUUACCAAGGCGACGAUGACUAGGGGGUCUGAGAGGAUGGUCCCCCACACUGGUACUGAGACACGGACCAGACUCCUACGGGAGGCAGCAGUGAGGAAUAUUGGGCAAUGGGCGCAAGCCUGACCCAGCCAUGCCGCGUGCAGGAUGACUGCCCUAUGGGUAGUAAACUGCUUUUAUACGGGAAGAAUGGUUCCUACGUGUAGGGAUUUGACGGUACCGUAUGAAUAAGCAUCGGCUAACUCCGUGCCAGCAGCCGCGGUAAUACGGAGGAUGCAAGCGUUAUCCGGAUUCAUUGGGUUUAAAGGGUGCGCAGGCGGAAUAUUAAGUCAGUGGUGAAAUCCUGCAGCUUAACUGUAGAACUGCCAUUGAUACUGAUAUUCUUGAAUAUAGUUGAGGUGGGCGGAAUGUGUAAUGUAGCGGUGAAAUGCUUAGAUUUUACACAGAACACCGAUUGCGAAGGCAGCUCACUAAACUAAUAUUGACGCUGAGGCACGAAAGCGUGGGGAGCGAACAGGAUUAGAUACCCUGGUAGUCCACGCUGUAAACGAUGAUCACUCGCUGUUGGCAAUACAUCGUCAGCGGCUGAGCGAAAGCAUUAAGUGAUCCACCUGGGGAAUACGAUCGCAAGAUUGAAACUCAAAGGAAUUGACGGGGGCCCGCACAAGCGGAGGAACAUGUGGUUUAAUUCGAUGAUACGCGAGGAACCUUACCUGGGCUUAAAUGCAGAACGACGUUUCGGGAAACCGGAAUUUCUUCGGACGGACUGCAAGGUGCUGCAUGGCUGUCGUCAGCUCGUGCCGUGAGGUGUCGGGUUAAGUCCCAUAACGAGCGCAACCCUUAUCGUUAGUUGCCAGCGGGUAAUGCCGGGGACUCUAACGAAACUGCCGGUGUAAACCGUGAGGAAGGUGGGGAUGACGUCAAGUCAGCACGGCCCUUAUGUCCAGGGCUACACACGUGUUACAAUGGUCGGUACAAAGGGCAGCUACCUGGCAACAGGAUGCUAAUCUCGAAAACCGAUCUCAGUUCGGAUUGAAGUCUGCAAUUCGACUUCAUGAAGCUGGAUUCGCUAGUAAUCGCGCAUCAGC
rnacentral:rRNA from 1 species